UACGUAGGUGGCGAGCGUUGUCCGGAUUUAUUGGGCGUAAAGGGCGCGCAGGUGGUGCGGUAAGUCACCUGUGAAAUCUCCUGGCUCAACUGGGAGCUUGCAGGCGAAACUGCCGUGCUGGAGUGUGGGAGAGGUGCGUGGAAUUCCUGGUGUAGCGGUGAAAUGCGUAGAUAUCAGGAGGAACACCUGUGGCGAAAGCGGCGCACUGGACCACAACUGACGCUGAGGCGCGAAAGCUAGGGGAGCAAACAGG
rnacentral:rRNA from 1 species